UUUGCUUCGGCUUAUAUGUCUAAAAUUGGAACGAUACAGAGAAGAUUAGCAUGGCCCUGCGCAAAGAGACCUAUCCUAAGAGAUCCUAUUAAUGUAC
rnacentral:snRNA from 1 species